AAAUAAAUUUGAUUUGACUCCGUUCAUCAGUGGCGUAGGAAGCACGGGUGCUCAGGGUGCUGGAGCACCCCCUUAUCUCAAGCUACCUUACCUACUUGCCUCCAUGAAGUUCAGAACAGCUAGCUAUUAGUUACUAAGCUAGCUCUGAAGCUAGCUACACUAGCAUAGUUACAUACACAGUACAAAGGUCAGCUAGAUGAACCACAUUGUAUAAUAUAUCUCUUAUAAAGUUAAAGAGCAAGCACAUUGCGAAUCUGCAACAAGCAAGUCUCCUCUCAUUUUUGACAUCAAUGGAACUAUAAGCUAGCCACGUACUAUCUGAAUGAAAUCCCUGGAUAUUGAUUUCUUCCUACAUUGGCCCACCAACGAGAUCUGAAAGGAGUGAAGGUCAUAUCUCCCAGAGGACAGACAGCUAUGUUGGUGUCAUUCACUAAAUGUUGAGCCUCUCGGAAACAGAGAAGGAUACGAUUCUCACAAGCAGUGGAACAAGAUGUAUUUCCUUCACUACACGGAGUGAAGGUCAUUGCAUGUGCUCCCGGAGGACAGACAGCUAGGUUGGUAUCAUUCACUGAAUGCUGAGCCUCUCGGAAACACAGGUGGAUCCGAUUCUCAUAAGCACUGAGACAAAAUGAUUGAGCAACACAAUCCAUAAGAUAGUCUGUUCUCAUAUGGAACACACAUAGGUCCGCUGUGUCCACCUCCCCCCAUCUCGUACACGGGAUUUGCCCCCAUAGUGAUGUGCUCCUCCGUUGCAGACCCUGCAUGGUGGUAAGAAAACAAGCAACAGUUAAAUUGAUCUCAGGGUUCUGGUAACCAGGGAGACACACCUUGGUACCAUUAAUGUGACAGGUGAAGUGUCCGGUGGAGUCGUUUUGUGGGCUGCAACCACAGUCAGGACCAAA